AACACGAUGUCGCAGUGGUUAGCGCGCACUCCCCAACAGGAUGAGACGUGAGUUCAACUCUCGCCUGAGGUUU